rnacentral:rRNA from 1 species
UACAGAGGUCUCAAGCGUUGUUCGGAUUCAUUGGGCGUAAAGGGUGCGUAGGCGGCGUGGUAAGUCGGGUGUGAAAUCUCGGAGCUUAACUCCGAAACUGCAUUCGAUACUGCCGUGCUUGAGGACUGGAGAGGAGACUGGAAUUUACGGUGUAGCGGUGAAAUGCGUAGAUAUCAGGAAGAACACCGGUGGCGAAGGCGGCUCUCUGGGCCUUACCUGACUCUGAGGAGCGAAAGCGUGGGUAGCGAACAGG